GCUAUCGGAUUGAUACUAAGCCAUGCGAGUCAUUGUAGCAAUACAAGGCAGACGGCUCAGUAACGCGUAGUCAAUCUACCCUAUGGACGGGAAUAACCUCGGGAAACUGAGAAUAAUGCCCGAUAGAACAUUAUGCCUGGAAUGGUUUAUGUUUCAAAUGAUUUAUCGCCAUAGGAUGGGACUGCGGCCUAUCGGUUUGUUGGUGAGGUAAUGGCCCACCAAGACUAUUACAGGUACGGGCUCUGAGAGGAGUAGCCCGGAGAUGGGUACUGAGACACGGACCCAGGCCCUAUGGGGCGCAGCAGGCGAGAAAACUUUGCAAUGUGCGAAAGCACGACAAGGUUAAUCCGAGUGGUUUCUGCUAAAGAAACCUUUUGUCAGUCCUAGAAACACUAACGAAUAAGGGGUGGGCAAGUUCUGGUGUCAGCCGCCGCGGUAAAACCAGCACCUCAAGUGGUCAGGAUGAUUAUUGGGCCUAAAGCAUCCGUAGCUCGUUUUGUAAGUUUUCGGUUAAAUCCAUGCGCUUAACGUAUGGGCUGCCGGGAAUACUGCAUAACUAGGAAGUGGGAGAGGUAGACGGUACUCGGGAGGAAGGGGUAAAAUCCUUUGAUCUCUUGAUGACCACCUGUGGCGAAGGCGGUCUACCAGAACACGUUCGACGGUGAGGGAUGAAAGCUGGGGGAGCAAACCGGAUUAGAUACCCGGGUAGUCCCAGCUGUAAACUAUGCAAACUCAGUGAUGCAUUGGCUUAUGGCCAAUGCAGUGCUGCAGGGAAGCCGUUAAGUUUGCCGCCUGGGAAGUACGUACGCAAGUAUGAAACUUAAA
rnacentral:rRNA from 1 species